rnacentral:lncRNA from 1 species
UAUAGUACUGUUGUUGCUAGUUGAGGUUAUCCCAAGCAUGUUUUAAUUUUUUUAGUACACCUCUGCUGAAAGGAAGCAUCCUUAUUUGUAACACACCACCCUGCAACCCUGGCCGGGCUCCUCCUUCCUGUCUCUCUGUCCCACAUCCCCCACAGCUGUCACGUCAGUUCUGUGUUUGUGUUGCAGUCUGGGCCCAGGAUGUCUUCUCUUUUCUUCUGCCUCUAUCCACAUCCAAAAAAUGACAUUAAAAUUGCAUAAACAAACCAGUUAUGUAUGUCACUAUCAGUCAGAGAAAGGGUUUGUUGAUGGCUUCUCAAAUAAGAAAGGCUAAUCUUAAAAAAGGAUAAUCUUUUGAGUUGAAAAAAAUUUAGUUUUUUUUUUUUAAAGAAGCUCAAUAAAUUCUCCUUGUUUUUCCACCUUUACUGAAAACCAAUAAAAAUUUUAUCAAAGACCAGCUUCUAGGAACCUAAAUUGGUGAAUUUAGGAAUUAGCCAAUUGCUCUUUCCUUGGCAUGGAGUUGGUUUGGGCAUUUCCCCAUAUUUUAUCUUAUUUUGUUAUUUGUUUUAUGAUUAUAUAUAUUUUCUUCCUUUCAAAACGACAUUUGUGAGCAGCAUCUGUGUCAUCUUUUUUUAAUGCUGGGCACACAUGUGUACGCAGCCUGAGUGUUUGGAGUUGAGUGUUUUGUAUGUUGGAUUGAGAGCACACAGAAGGGCUACGGCUGGGGAGCCAUGAUCAGCAGUGGAGGGGCUUGCUGUGCUUCAAGAAAAGCCUCAGUGGUGGAAGACAUGGGAUAUGUUUUUGAUGAGGAUUUCAGGAGUUGAAACAUAAGUGAAAUAGUAUCCUACAAAAGGCUUUGAACUAUUGAUAAAUUAAUUCAAGAUCUUACCAGUUUAUAAGGCAGUCAUAUAAAGACAUACAAAUUUUGGUAUUUUUAUAAGACAAUAAUUUUAUUUCAGUUUGAGUCUUCAUGGAAAACCUGACACAUGGGGGGAAAUGUCUUCUGAUAACUUUAAUUUUUGUUAGUUUGAAGGCAUGCAUAAGAAUGAAGCCAUAAGCCAACAGCUUCAUGUUUUACGGAAGGAAGUGAAGCAGUUGCAAGCUGAAGCUGCUAAACCACCAUCACUUAAUAUUGUGGAAGCUGCUGUACAUGCAGAAAACUUGAUCACGUAAGUUUCGCAGGCAUUAUAAUUUGAAAUACUGUUUUGUUAUCAUGAAUAGUAAUCAUACAUGCUACUAUACCACCACCACCCCUGCAGCACCCACAGGUUAAUUUAGUACAGACAUCAGCAAACUACGGCCUUUGAGUCAAAUCUGGCCUGCUACUUAUUUUUAUAAAUAAAGUUUUACUGGAACACAGCCAUCACCAUUUAUUUAUAAUUUCUAUGGCUUUUAUGCUGCAACAGAAGGAUUGAGUGGUUGUAACAGAGAUAUAAAGCAGAAAAUAUUAACUAUCUGGCCCUAUAUAGAAAAAGUU